UCCAAGGCAGACCUCCACAGCAGACUAACACUGAACUGGGAGGCCUACGCUCCACAGCCCUACUGUAACACUGAACUGGGAGGCCUACGCUCCACAGCCCUACUGUAACACUGAACUGGGAGGCCUACGCUCCACAGCCCUACUGUAACACUGAACUGGGAGGCCUACGCUCCACAGCCCUACUGUAACACUGAACUGGGAGGCCUACGCUCCACAGCCCUACUGUAACACUGAACUGGGAGGCCUACGCUCCACAGCCCUACUGUAACACUGAACUGGUAGGCCUACGCUCCACAGCCCUACUGUAACACUGAACUGGGAGGCCUACGCUCCACAGCCCUACUGUAACACUGAACUGGGAGGCCUACGCUCCACAGCCCUACUGUAACACUGAACUGGGAGGCCUACGCUCCAUAGCCCUACUGUAACACUGAACUGGUAGGCUUACGCUCCACAGCCCUACCGUAACACUGAACUGGGAGGCCUACGCUCCACAGUAUAGCAGUGCCAGCUGAGAGCCACUGACCUAAUACUGCCAUCAUCACUUAGCCAGAUGUGUCCACCACCUGCUGCAGGCUUUACCCCUCCCUCUAGUCCGCUGCCAGGAGGUCUCUGCCCUUAAAGGCUGAAAUGCUGCUAUACAUGUUCUGCGGUAGACACACAACAUGUUAUAUGCAUCACAUGCUUAAAACCAUAUUAUUGUUUUUAAAUACGUCAUUUGUAAAUAAUGAGUAAUGAUAAUUAGGGGUCCUAUGAAAACCGUACCAAACCAAUUGCAAUCGUUAGUAUAAUUAUUAUGAUUUUUUUCAUUCUAAUAAUAUGCAGAAAAACCAUUUGGCUCCAAAAGUUAUACAAUUGCUGGGCCAAAGUAACACAUAGAUGGCGCUAUAACAAAGCCUUGAAGUUCAGCAUUUAAACAUGUUGCCAUUAUCACUAGGAAGGUACAAUAUGCAUGAAACUUCUUAUCCUUGCACCAUUCGUCAUGAUGAACAACUUUCAAACCACAACCCCUACGGCCCGACCAUUUGGAUAUGGUGUGUGACAACAAUGGUUAAAGCAGCAUCCUCGGCACACGGGUCAUUUUUAUGGGACUUUAUGGUUUUAAAUUUAUAGCAGUAAGGCGAAAGGCGGCAGGGAUAUAGAUUUUACGUAUGUAAAAUACAUGCAUAUGUAAAAAUCUCUCCAACAUCUUUAAACAGCUCUGACAUUGCAUCAAAACACGUAAGCUCAGCUGUUGAACACUAAGGAGACUCCAUAGUAUAUCCAGGCCAAAUCUGAAGACUGAAAAAACAACAAAAAAACAUUAGUUAGAGGUUCUCCAUGUGAGCCGUGGCCUCUCCACGGUGCACUGGGCCUUAACGAGGGACACACGGCGUUCCCCAACGUCCUUUUGAUGACGGGAUAGAGUAGGCUUUGUUUUAUCGUAUGGAAACAUGGUUGGUGAUUGGUUUGAUAUGUUUACUUCCAGUAAACCAGUUUUUAAGGCAUAACAAUGUUAACCAUAUUACCAUAACCACCAAGCUCACCAUACCGAGGUAGAACCACAGCCAGAGGUAGAACCACAGGGGACCAGAGGUAGAACCACAGGGGACCAGAGGUAGAACCACAGGGGACCAGAGGUAGAACCACAGGGGACCAGAGGUAGAACCACAGCCAGAGGCAGAACCACAGCCAGAGGUAGAACCACAGCCAGAGGCAGAACCACAGCCAGAGGUAGAACCACAGGGGACCAGAGGUAGAACCACAGGGGACCAGAGGUAGAACCACAGGGGACCAGAGGUAGAACCACAGGGGACCAGAGGUAGAACCACAGGGGACCAGAGGUAGAACCACAGCCAGAGGCAGCGCGUGCCUCGCCCUGAUGGACAGAUGAGCAGCAGGGGGUAUUUUUAGAAGGAAUUAUCGGAGAGGAGAAACGACACCGGAGGGCUCCAGCAUCUCACACACACACACACACACACACACACACACACACACACACACACACACACACACACACACCAUCUCUCUGAAGACAGUCCUUCUCAGUGAACACACACACACAUCAGGCAGAAAUACACACAGACACAACUACACACACAUGCACUACCUUCCAGGCUCCACUGUCAGGAGGUUCAGUAUUUUUGUAUUUUUGUAUUUUUGUGUUACAUCAUUCAUCCAGCUGGAUUCCUGGCCCUGCAUCCAAAUUAUUGUCUACUAAAUCAUUAUGUGAUUAAGUCCAUUAAACACAUUAAUGACUAGUUCCAUGUCUGUUUAUUAAAUAAUACUUAAAGGCAAGUAACAUCAUUCAAAACACGUUUCUUAAAAUACCCUAAAUAUGGCUCUUUGAUGGUAAUACUGCACCCGUCAUUAGUCUGAUGAACAAGUCUAUUUUUCAAAACCAAAUCUCUUGCAUCCCUCUGAAUAUACCUGACCAAUUUAGAGACCCGUAGUGGCAGACUACUAUGCUGCCGUUUCCGCGUCAUACCAGAACCCCAACCGUCAAAGCACUAGCCCCAUCUAGUGUUCAGAAAGAGAAGUGUGGGCUCAUGUGUCCGCUAUUUAUAGAUCUACAAUGUUGAUGUCACAUAUCACGGGACAACUCAACUGUGAAAUAGUGGCCUAGUGCAGCUGGAAAAGGAAAGGCGUUAACACUGCCACAGCAAGAUCCUUCUCCAUGUUCACACUGUGGGACCCUUUUAACAGCAGAGCCAAUAUGGACAACAGAUUUAGC